rnacentral:rRNA from 1 species
AGAGUUUGAUCCUGGCUCAGAUUGAACGCUGGCGGCAGGCCUAACACAUGCAAGUCGAGCGGAUGAGGGUAGCUUGCUACCUGAUUCAGCGGCGGACGGGUGAGUAAUGCCUAGGAAUCUGCCUGGUAGUGGGGGACAACGUUUCGAAAGGAACGCUAAUACCGCAUACGUCCUACGGGAGAAAGUGGGGGAUCUUCGGACCUCACGCUAUCAGAUGAGCCUAGGUCGGAUUAGCUAGUUGGUGAGGUAAAGGCUCACCAAGGCGACGAUCCGUAACUGGUCUGAGAGGAUGAUCAGUCACACUGGAACUGAGACACGGUCCAGACUCCUACGGGAGGCAGCAGUGGGGAAUAUUGGACAAUGGGCGAAAGCCUGAUCCAGCCAUGCCGCGUGUGUGAAGAAGGUCUUCGGAUUGUAAAGCACUUUAAGUUGGGAGGAAGGGCAGUAAGUUAAUACCUUGCUGUUUUGACGUUACCGACAGAAUAAGCACCGGCUAACUCUGUGCCAGCAGCCGCGGUAAUACAGAGGGUGCAAGCGUUAAUCGGAAUUACUGGGCGUAAAGCGCGCGUAGGUGGUUUGUUAAGUUGGAUGUGAAAGCCCCGGGCUCAACCUGGGAACUGCAUCCAAAACUGGCAAGCUAGAGUACGGUAGAGGGUGGUGGAAUUUCCUGUGUAGCGGUGAAAUGCGUAGAUAUAGGAAGGAACACCAGUGGCGAAGGCGACCACCUGGACUGAUACUGACACUGAGGUGCGAAAGCGUGGGGAGCAAACAGGAUUAGAUACCCUGGUAGUCCACGCCGUAAACGAUGUCAACUAGCCGUUGGAAUCCUUGAGAUUUUAGUGGCGCAGCUAACGCAUUAAGUUGACCGCCUGGGGAGUACGGCCGCAAGG